rnacentral:rRNA from 1 species
GAUGAACGCUGGCGGCGUGCCUAAUACAUGCAAGUCGAGCGAACGGACGAGAAGCUUGCUUCUCUGAUGUUAGCGGCGGACGGGUGAGUAACACGUGGAUAACCUACCUAUAAGACUGGGAUAACUUCGGGAAACCGGAGCUAAUACCGGAUAAUAUUUUGAACCGCAUGGUUCAAAAGUGAAAGACGGUCUUGCUGUCACUUAUAGAUGGAUCCGCGCUGCAUUAGCUAGUUGGUAAGGUAACGGCUUACCAAGGCAACGAUGCAUAGCCGACCUGAGAGGGUGAUCGGCCACACUGGAACUGAGACACGGUCCAGACUCCUACGGGAGGCAGCAGUAGGGAAUCUUCCGCAAUGGGCGAAAGCCUGACGGAGCAACGCCGCGUGAGUGAUGAAGGUCUUCGGAUCGUAAAACUCUGUUAUUAGGGAAGAACAUAUGUGUAAGUAACUGUGCACAUCUUGACGGUACCUAAUCAGAAAGCCACGGCUAACUACGUGCCAGCAGCCGCGGUAAUACGUAGGUGGCAAGCGUUAUCCGGAAUUAUUGGGCGUAAAGCGCGCGUAGGCGGUUUUUUAAGUCUGAUGUGAAAGCCCACGGCUCAACCGUGGAGGGUCAUUGGAAACUGGAAAACUUGAGUGCAGAAGAGGAAAGUGGAAUUCCAUGUGUAGCGGUGAAAUGCGCAGAGAUAUGGAGGAACACCAGUGGCGAAGGCGACUUUCUGGUCUGUAACUGACGCUGAUGUGCGAAAGCGUGGGGAUCAAACAGGAUUAGAUACCCUGGUAGUCCACGCCGUAAACGAUGAGUGCUAAGUGUUAGGGGGUUUCCGCCCCUUAGUGCUGCAGCUAACGCAUUAAGCACUCCGCCUGGGGAGUACGACCGCAAGGUUGAAACUCAAAGGAAUUGACGGGGACCCGCACAAGCGGUGGAGCAUGUGGUUUAAUUCGAAGCAACGCGAAGAACCUUACCAAAUCUUGACAUCCUUUGACGACUCUAGAGAUAGAGCCUUCCCCUUCGGGGGACAAAGUGACAGGUGGUGCAUGGUUGUCGUCAGCUCGUGUCGUGAGAUGUUGGGUUAAGUCCCGCAACGAGCGCAACCCUUAAGCUUAGUUGCCAUCAUUAAGUUGGGCACUCUAAGUUGACUGCCGGUGACAAACCGGAGGAAGGUGGGGAUGACGUCAAAUCAUCAUGCCCCUUAUGAUUUGGGCUACACACGUGCUACAAUGGACAAUACAAAGGGCAGCGAAACCGCGAGGUCAAGCAAAUCCCAUAAAGUUGUUCUCAGUUCGGAUUGUAGUCUGCAACUCGACUACAUGAAGCUGGAAUCGCUAGUAAUCGUAGAUCAGCACGCUACGGUGAAUACGUUCCCGGGUCU